GUACAUACAUAGUAUCCUGGUACAAAAAUACUGGCUCCAGCGAGGUAUAACAUCAGUAUGUAAUGAACCAAAAACUACAACUACCUGUAGCUGAUACUCCACUAGCUCUGGCUCGCCUGGUAGGGCUCUAACUCGCAACGCCCUUGCCACGAUCAGGAUCAGCAGCAGCCGACAAUGACGGCUCUGCAAAACGAAAAGGAACAACUGGGCGUGAGAACUACUGUAAAAAUAAGUAGUCCUCAGUGGGUGCCGCCCUCAACAUCAUCGGUCCGCCUACUAAGUCUACAGAAAGGAGCUGGAAUAGUACAUAAUGCUGGAACAAAAUCUACAGCUAAGAACCAUUAUACUAUC
rnacentral:lncRNA from 1 species